rnacentral:misc_RNA from 1 species
CAGAGUUCGUGCCCUCGCGGGUAGAUCUCCCACCCUGUGUUAUUGCUACCUUUGUUGCUUUGGCGGGCCGCCCUCGGCUACCGGCCCCGGCUGGUACGCGCCCGCCAGAGGACCCCAAACCCUGAACGUCAGUGUCGUCUGAGUACUAUACAAUAGUUA